rnacentral:rRNA from 1 species
GAUGAACGCUGGCGGCGUGCUUAACACAUGCAAGUCGAACGAAGCAUUUAGGACAGAUUACUUCGGUUUGAAGUUCUUUAUGACUGAGUGGCGGACGGGUGAGUAACGCGUGGGUAACCUGCCUUGUACUGGGGGAUAGCAGCUGGAAACGGCUGGUAAUACCGCAUAAGCGCACAAUGUUGCAUGACAUGGUGUGAAAAACUCCGGUGGUAUAAGAUGGACCCGCGUCUGAUUAGCUAGUUGGUGAGAUAACAGCCCACCAAGGUGACGAUCAGUAGCCGACCUGAGAGGGUGACCGGCCACAUUGGGACUGAGACACGGCCCAGACUCCUACGGGAGGCAGCAGUGGGGAAUAUUGCACAAUGGAGGAAACUCUGAUGCAGCGACGCCGCGUGAGUGAAGAAGUAAUUCGUUAUGUAAAGCUCUAUCAGCAGGGAAGAUAGUGACGGUACCUGACUAAGAAGCUCCGGCUAAAUACGUG